CAGUUUGAGGGAGCAGGUGACGUCCGUCCUAUAAACCUAAUCUGGUGGAGUUUGGCCUCGUGCAUUUUCGAUGCCAGUAGGCUAUUAUAAUGUAAAAAGUGAACUUAAUAGCCGCGAGCGGGAAUAUAGCUUAACUCAUCAUAUAACUUAACUCGAGUGAGCCUAUUAUAAUGCGUACACUAUUUUAAAUGUGGCUUAAAUGUUUUCAGAUACUCGUAUUCGUGUUGUACUGUAAAAUUUGUUUACUUGUGCGAAAUUCCUUUAUAGCCUACGUUUGUCUGACAGCACGCCGGCUGUGGGUAACUUUCCCCGCGCCAGAGCUUUGUCCGCGUGGUAGACUUCAAGUUCGGGGGAGGAGGGUCACCGCUCGCGCCGCGGGAUCAUGAGAAAGGACUACAGGCGCCAUUGAGGACACCCUGUGUGCCCCGGAUGAAGUUUGCCUGAUUACUGAUUCAUUUCAAAUUCAGAUCAGACUCUGGUCUUCGAUUGAGGAAACUCUUUAAGGUUCCAGAAUGUUUAACAGCCGUAGAGGAUCAAUAACGGCUUUUUAUUUUAAUUGCCGCCGAGAUCUGGGAAGUGAAGUGAAGUUGAAGUGAACUUCAACUUUCCGGCUAAGAUCUCGCCUUGAGACAGUCGGUCUGUCACGUCGCGUUCGGUGGAGACACCGGGAAGUGCCAGUUGCUCGCCCUGCCAGCCAAGCAAACGAGGACUUAAUAGGGCCUACGAGAGUAAUGAGCAAGUGGAAACUGUCUCGCGGACACGGCCAAGCAUGCUGAGAGGCCGCCACGCGCCAAGGACCGGUGUGCACGAACAAGUCAAAGAUGGAGACAUUUUCACACUUUCACAUUGUGAAUACACUAUGGCGGAAAUAAAGGAGGCCCGUGAUCAAGCGAAUAAUCUCGAGGACAGAUGACGUAGCUACAGCGGUCCUUGGGUCACUGUUCAACAGGCCACAUUUUGACUAUUUCCCCAGAAGAAUGCAUUUUACAGGCAGCGAAAAAAUAUAAAGAAAACUUGAACCGAGAACAAAUAUAACGAACCGAUAUGUAGACUAUCGUACAUGAACGAUGAAGAAAUACACAGACCUUUAAAGACAAAAUCCACAAGCGUAACGGCAAGAUUGGCGAUAGCCAAUAGCUAAUAAAUUGUCAGAGAUU